rnacentral:lncRNA from 1 species
AGCUGGAGCCGCGCUGCAGGCACCUGGAGGCCCAGCUGGAGCAGCUGCAGGAGGCCGAGAUCGCGGAGCUGGAGCGCAGCCGCCCGCAGAGGCUCAUGGAGCUGUCCUCUCGCCAUGGCCCAGGCCAGGAGCCGGAAGGCCUGAAGUCACCCAGCGCCCAGCUCCAGGCCGAAGAUGUGCUGCAGAGGGCCCACGGGCAGCGUGUCAAGGGCACGGAGGAGCAGGUCAGGCCUCUCGAAGAGCAGCUGGACGAGGACAAACGGAAGAGACAGACACCCAUCUCUCAGCAGCUACAGACGGGGAAAUGACCCGGAAAUAGCUGUUAUGCCCCUGUGUCCUACCCCGUAAGGCCAAGCACCCAGAGUCACCCUGCGGCAGCGGCUCUGCAGGUCCCUCAGGCUGGACUUCUCUGCCUUCUCCUUUGCUAGGAUGCUCCAGAGCCUGGCCAGGAAUGGGGCGAGCAGGGCGCUGCUCAUCAAGGUAUCCCCACUGCACCCCCAUGAGAGGACGGAGCUCAGCUUCCCAAUCUGUCCAGCUCCCUGUCCCUCCUCCAGCCCAUCUGGGGUUUGACCUCUCCAGCCCCUCAGGCUUUCCCAAAUCCCCUCCAGCUCUGCUCCAGCUCUUUUUCCCCUGAGUUAGGCUCAGGACAACCAGCCCACAGGCAGCCCUGGUGGGCAGGCCGGCGGCAGGGGGAGGAUUUCCAGCAAGAGGACCCAAAAGCGCCCCAUGCACCCCAGCACCCGACGGGAGCAUGACGCAGGCCUGCGUGGAGCCCUGCAGGAACCGCUGGCCUUUUCACGCGGCGGCAGGUGGCUGGGAUUAAUCCAAGCCAAGUCAUCUUGUGAUGUGCUGGCCCAAGACAUGCAGAAGUGUAAAAUCGGGCAUCCUACCCACUCGUCGCCUAGAAAAUCCCUGUAGAAAUCAAACCGGGGAAGGAAGAAGGGGGUUCGCCAGCAACCGCAAUGGCCGUCUUGGGACCGCUGCACCCUUCACCUGUUAGCAUCAAUACACAUUUUUUCCCCAUUAAUAUUUGCUGGGAGUGGGGGUGGUAGGUUUUUCCUUCCUUUUUUUUUUUUUCUCAAAGCCUGGUUUGUUUAACCUUAAACGAGGGGCGCAGGCUUUCCUAACGGCCGGCGCGAUGGCAGGCCCGGCCUGCUGGUUUCCCAGGAGCAGCAGCGGCAGGGACCCCGGCCCUGGGCCUCGGGGGGAGCCAGGCUCCCGGGCCAGCGCUGCAGCAUUUCGGGCCUGGGCCAUGUGCAGCGUGUGGGCGAGGAUUUGGGAAGCCCACAGAAUACCCUCACGUUGAUGGCAAAGCCGGGUCCCUGUGAGGCAAACUUUCCACGGUGGUAUCCACAUAAUCCCUGGGCUGUUGAUCCUAACUGAGUCCUGCUGUUGUUUUCUCCUCUGUUUCAAUCCUUACAUAAUAUGUUCCUUGGCCCGUUUUCAGUAUUAAAAUGUACCUUGCAAUAAUUACAGUGGAGAAUAUUUAUAUUGCAUUCGUAUGGAAUAAAGCAUAAACGCUUUGGAACGGGGGCUCCGAU